CCUUUUUACGCAUAAUAAACCACCUCUAUACAUUUUACUGUUCCUAUUCUGUUAGAAACAGGUAUUGAAAAACACAUCGUAAGGUUUAUUAGUUCCUAUUAUGCGUGCGGUAUAAUGAAAAAUACUGUUAGUUAGAAGGUAAUAAAAAAAACCGUUAUCUAACAGUUCUUUUUCUAUGCUUUAAAUUAACAUUAGAACCCCAUUUGAUUGAUGACGGUUUGAAAAAGCCGUCUUCUUUCUUUUACGACA
rfam:Enterococcus aquimarinus strain DSM 17690 Scaffold2, whole genome shotgun sequence.